rnacentral:rRNA from 1 species
GUCCGACUCUGUUGCCUCCGGGGCGACCCUGCCUUCGGGCGGGGGCUCCGGGUGGACACUUCAAACUCUUGCGUAACUUUGCAGUCUGAGUAAACUUAAUUAAUAAAUUAAAACUUUUAACAACGGAUCUCUUGGUUCUGGCAUCGAUGAAGAACGCAGCGAAAUGCGAUAAGUAAUGUGAAUUGCAGAAUUCAGUGAAUCAUCGAAUCUUUGAACGCACAUUGCGCCCCCUGGUAUUCCGGGGGGCAUGCCUGUUCGAGCGUCAUUUCACCACUCAAGCCUCGCUUGGUAUUGGGCAACGCGGUCCGCCGCGUGCCUCAAAUCGUCCGGCUGGGUCUUCUGUCCCCUAAGCGUUGUGGAAACUAUUCGCUAAAGGGUGUUCGGGAGGCUACGCCGUAAAACAACCCCAUUUCUAAGGUUGACCUCGGAUCAGGUAGGGAUACCCGCUGAACUUAAGCAU